AUGCGUGCCUGAUUGUAUAUAUAUGCACGUGGAUUCACGAAAGACCUCCCAAACAAAAGUUGCGCCGUGUUCUCUGAGCGCCCAAGUCACGCAUUCGCCGCGCUCAUUUUCAUUCUGUGUUAAUCCAAGAUUGAUUUUGCCCCUUUGGCGCACAUCAAACUGCUCAGUGACCGUGCUCUCGGCCGCCCAAGCAAGUCCCACGUUUUUUAAGACUGAAACUGAGUGGCCGACGCCAUCGUUAGUAAGAGGAACUGCUGAAAGCACCAAAAUGAUGGGUUGCCGCGUUCUUGUCCUUGCAUGCUUCGCGCUCUCGAUGCUGCAGUCCUCCUCGAGCAUGACAACUAAGAAGGCAAUGAUGAGGGACAGUGAGAGCAUGAAGCCCGGGAAGCAGCAAGGCUCGCCGGGUGACAAAAUGCAGGGCACGACGAUGUCGGCGAGCACACCCGCUCAGGACGACGAGGAAGAUUCCAUGGAGAGCGAGAGCAUGGAAGCGGAUCAGAUGGGCCAAGGUACGAAGAACUGCACGAUGCCAGAUAUGCACAUGAGCGGGAAGAAGGACAUGACGGCGGCCAGCGGCGACAUGAAAGGCGGCGCGACGACCGCUCCUGCGAAAGCCGGGAUGAAGGGUGCCAAGAUGGGCGUGGACAUGAUGAAGGCGGGGGCAAACUGCACCGUCCAACGUAUGGGCGACAUGAUGAAAGGCGGUGCGAGUGGUACGACGAAGAUGAUGAACGAAAAGGCCAGCAUGCAGUCGACAAUGGCGCCGCCGAGGGGACGUCGGAACUAACGACACUUGUCUGCGGGAUGUCGCCUCCUCCACCUCCGACUCAAAUAAGUUCUUUAAAUAAAUCCAGCCACUGUGUUUCUGUGUUUUAA